rnacentral:rRNA from 1 species
AUUGAACGCUGGCGGCAGGCCUAACACAUGCAAGUAGAGCGAGCGGCGGACGGGGGAGAAAUGUAUGGGGACUGCCCGAUAGAGGGGGAUAACUACUGGAAACGGGAGCUAAUACCGCAUACUACCGGAAAACCCAUAUGGGAUUAGCUAGUAGGUGAGGAAAUGGCUCACCUAGGCGACGAGCCCUAGCUGGUCUGAGAGGAUGAGCAGCCACACUGGGACUGAGACACGGCCCCGACUCCUACGGAGGCAGCAGUCGGGAAUAUUGCUCAAUGGGCGCAAUCCUGAUUCAGCCAUUCCGCGUGUAUAAAGGAGGCACUAGGGUUUUAAAGUACUUUCAGUCGGGAGGCGUUACCGACCGAAGAAGCACCGGCUAACUCCGUGCCAGCCGUCGCGGUAAUAC